AUGUCUGCAGGUCGCUCUCAGCACACGGCUACCUCGAGCAUGCGGCGCCGGCAAGAGGCCGAGCGCGCCGUGGCAGAGGAGCGUGAGCGAGCAGCUGUAGCAGCGGCCGCUGCGGCGGCAAGAGUGUCGAGGCUGGCUGCAGCGGAGCUGGCAGCAGCCAGAGCGGAGGUAGAAGCAGCCAGGGCGGAGGUAGAAGCAGCAGCAGCAGCAGAAGCAGCCCGUGAGGCUACGGCGGAUGCCAAGGCACUCCGCGGCAGCCCCGGCAGCUCCAGCAGCUCCGCGCCUGCGGACGACGGCGCCGACGCAGAUCGCGCCAAAGUGGCACAGGAGCGGACGGCGCAGUGGGCAGCCGAGCACGCCCGCGCUCCAGGUGGAGGCGCGCACCGCGACGGCGGCUGCAACGACCAGGACCGCGGCCUCUACGAGGUCCGGACUGUGGUCAGGGAUGUUGGUUCCAGUGUUGGGUGGCCUACCCUCACUAAAACCAACUACGUCGAGUGGGCCGGGAUCAUGAAGGUCAGGCUCCAGGUGCGGCGCAUGUGGGAGGCAGUCCAGGACAGCAACAUCGACCACCUAGAGGACCGACGGGCGCUGGACGCCCUCAUCGCCGCAGUCCCGCCCGAGAUGCAGUUCUCGCUUUCCAACAAGCGGACUGCCAAGGAGGCUUGGGACGCCAUCGCCGCAGCAUGCAUCGGCAGCGACCGUGCUCGCAAGUCCACCCUGCAGGCACUUCGUAAGGAGUGGGAGAACCUGGGCUUCAAGCCAGGUGAGGACGUUGAUGACUUUGCUCUCCGUCUCAACACUCUGCUGCAGAAGAUGGUGAAGUUUGGCGAUGCCACCUACACCGAGGAGAGAGCUGUCGAGAAGCUUUUUCGGUGCAUUCCCGAGAAGUACAAGCAGAUGGCUCGCUCGAUCGAGUCGUUGCUGGACCUCUCCACGAUGACGAUCGAGGAGGCGAUAGGUCGACUCAAGGUCGUCGACACCGACGAGCCACAGCCCCCCUCGGGGCCCGUCACCACCGGCGGGAAGCUGCUCCUAACUCGGGAGCAGUGGGAUCCCAGCCUUGGUGACAAGAAGAAGGGGGAGCCUUCCUCCUCGACGGGCGGCCGCAAGCGUGGCAAGCAGCGUAAGGCGCGAAGAGGCCCCCCGGGCAGGGCACAAGGACGUGCCGAAGGUGACGCCCGCGGAGGCGCCAAGGACGGCGCCGCUGGCAAGCCCAGGCCGGCACAAGACAACAGUUGCCAUAACUGUGGCCGGUUUGGCCAUUGGGCCAAUGAGUGUCGGCAACCACGACAAGGCCAGGCUCACAUCGCACAGGCGAAGGAGGAGGAGACGGCUCUGUUCAUGGCGCAUGCAAGCAUUGAGCUACCCUCGGCGACUCCAAGCAUGGGCUGCCUGGGGACGGCGCCGGUCCUAUACCACCGAGGGGGUUUCUUUUGUAGUUCUGGAUACACAAUUUUUCGUGAAGAGAUGGCUACCCCAAGGCAAUCUGAAUUAGAUGCUGGAACCGUAGAGGGCAACGGACAAGAGUUUGCUGGAAGUACCAACGUGAGCUCGAAUCAGGAAUUGUUUUGCUGCAACCGACAAUCACGAAAACUACAACCGGCAAUCACAAAAGCUACAACCGGUGAUCGGUUUUUCUUCAAUGGCGACGGGGUGGCAACACCGACGAGCUUUUUUUGCUGGAACCAGCAUAAUGUUUUGCUACUACCAGCUUACAUUUUUGUUACCACCAGCAAACCCGAAGGAGAGUACUUUUUUCACGAGUUCGUCAUCGGGGUGCUGCGACCGGCGACCGGCCGGAGCUAUGGGCGUCCUAGCUGCCACUGCCGGCGAGGGAGCUUCAACCGCGGGCGAAGGUUGUUGCAUGCGUGGAUCCAGCGAAAAAGACAUGAGCCGACCACGACGAGAGGUCGGCUACCGGCUGCGGGGGCGACGAGCGCGCGGACUGGUGCUUUGAGGCCGGUGGUCUGCUCAUCCAUGGAGGUGCGAGUGUGGAGGAGGAUUGGGGAAGAAGAAGACACAGGAAAAAAGACAUAA
rnacentral:rRNA from 1 species